rnacentral:rRNA from 1 species
UACGUAGGGCGCAAGCGUUGUCCGGAAUUAUUGGGCGUAAAGAGCUCGUAGGCGGCCUGUUACGUCUGCUGUGAAAUCCCGGGGCUUAACCCCGGGCGUGCAGUGGAUACGGGCAGGCUGGAGGCAGGCAGGGGAGAACGGGAAUUCCCGGUGUAGCGGUGAAAUGCGCAGAUAUCAGGAGGAACACCAAUUGACGAAGGCAGCUCGCUGGGACGUUACUGACGCUGAUGCG